UAGUCCACACCGUAAACGCUGUCUACUAGCUGUUUGUGAAUUUAAUUCGUGAGUAGCGAAGCUAACGCGAUAAGUAGACCGCCUGGGGAGUACGGCCGCAAGGUUAAAACUCAAAUGAAUUGACGGGGGCCCGCACAAGCGGUGGAGCAUGUGGUUUAAUUCGAUGCAACGCGAAGAACCUUACCUACUCUUGACAUACUAGAAACUUUUCAGAGAUGAAUUGGUGCCUUCGGGAAUCUAGAUACAGGUGCUGCAUGGCUGUCGCCAGCUCGUGUCGUGAGAUGUUGGGUUAAGUCCCGCAACGAGCGCAACCCCUACUUUUAGUUGCCACCAUUUAGUUGGGCACUUUAAAAGAACUGCCAGUGAUAAGCUGGAGGAAGUGGGGAUGACGCCAAGUCCUCAUGGGCCCUUAUGGUGUUGGGGCUACACACGCGCUACAAUGGGUACUUACAAAUGGGGAAGCAAAGAGGGUGACUCUAAGCUAAAUCCCUAAAAAUGUAACCU
rnacentral:rRNA from 1 species